UUCAACCCCCUCCCCUGCUA
rnacentral:tRNA from 1 species